rnacentral:misc_RNA from 1 species
GAUGAAGAACGUAGUGAAAUGCGAUACGUAAUGUGAAUUGCAGAAUUCAGUGAAUCAUCGAAUCUUUGAACGCAUAUUGCGCUCUCUGGUAUCCCGGAGAGCAUGCUUGUUUGAGUAUCAGUAAACACCUCAACUUCCAUAUCUUUUUUGAAAUGGGAGUUGGACUUGAGUGAUCCCAACGCUUUUCCUCACCGAAAAGUGGCGGGUUACUUGAAAUGCAGGUGCAGCUGGACUUUUCUCUGAGCUAUAAGCAUAUCUAUUUAGUCUGCCUAAAAAACAGAUUAUUACCUUUGCUGCAGCUAACAUAAAGGAGAUUAGUUCUUGUGCUGACUGAUGCAGGAUUCACAAAGACAGGCUUCGGCCGACUUUGUAAACUCGAUCUCAAAUCAAGUAAGACUACCCGCUGAACUUAAGCAUAUCAAUAAGCGGAGGA